GGAUAAGAGCCUUAACUAUAAUAGAAGAGUUGAAAGCUGGCAUUUUUCAGGAUUCUCUGUUCAGGAAGAGAGACCAAGAUGGAGAAGCAUUAUCACUAAACUGAGAAAGAGCUGUUCUUCUAGCCAUGAUGUGUUCAAAGAUGAGCUCCAUUAAUGGAAAACAAAUGAUUGAUAAUCCAGGGGUUCACAUGUGAAAGGCACUGUACCCUGAGCAGGAUGUGAUGGUGGGUUCCACAACAUUUACGAUUUGAAACCCUAAGGAGAUACUCAAUCAUAAGUACAUAAAACGCAUUAUUUUUGAUCAGAGAACUCUGAAAUCUGCAAUGUUCUUCACUGGCACUCUUCCCUACGCUGUGCUGUCCAGAACAUGUGCGCUGCUAUUCUGAGCUUUCCGGAAGUGAAACAACUUUAUGGAAAUCGAAAAUUGGAGGAUUUUUAAAUUUUCAUAUCACAGAUGAUAAAAGAUGAAAGAGUGAUCUUUUAUCAGCAAGUGGUGUGCUGCUUCAUGGAUUUUACUCAACCAACAGUUACGGAGAGCCUCUCCUGUGCAAAGCAACACUUAGGCACCAUGUGUAUGCUGACGGUGUGCCGGGAGAUGGAUAGAAAGAGGAAGCCGUCGCGUUUUAUGGAUUUUCAUUAUUAUUACAAAGACGAGCAUUAGAAAGCAAAGGGCAAAGGCUGCCGAGCUCUUUCUAAAUAGGCAAGCGUGUCGCAGCUUCGGGAGGAGGGGACAGGAAUGGUGGCAUUUUUCAAAAUGGGAAUUUGGUUUUUCAGACUGACGCCUGAAAAAUAAAGACAAGGCUAAACCAUUGCAUCAACAAA